rnacentral:sRNA from 1 species
AGAGAGGCCGCAGCCAGGCCUCUGCUGCCCUUUCUGUGCCCCCCAGGCUCUCAGUGCCACCACCCCCGGCAGGCCUUCCCUGACCCAGCCAGGAACAAACAAGGGACCAAGUGCACACAUUGCUGAGAGCCAUCUCCUGUGCCUCCCCCGCCCCAUCCCCGGUCUUCGUGUUGUGUCUGCCAGGCUCAGGCAGAGGCGCCUGUCCCUGCUUUUCUGACCGGGAAAUAAAUGCCCCUGAAGGA